AACCCUUGUGGAGGAGGACGCCGAAGGUGGGGCUAAUGACUGGGGUGAAGUCGUAACAAGGUAGCCGUACCGGAAGGUGCGGCUGGAUCACCUCCUAACAGGGAGACAACAAAAUGUUUAAUAUUAUUAUUUUGUCACCUUAGGUCGAUCGGUAUCUCACGUUCUUAAUUUAUUAAGAAUUUCAUUUCCUAAGUUUUUCUAGGUCACACCCAUUAUUUUUCCUGGGCCAUUAGCUCAGGUGGUUAGAGCGCACCCCUGAUAAGGGUGAGGUCCCUGGUUCAAGUCCAGGAUGGCCCAUAUCUCUAUGUUGGGGGUAUAGCUCAGUUGGUAGAGCGCCUGCUUUGCAAGCAGGAUGUCAGCGGUUCGAGUCCGCUUACCUCCACUGAUUACCACCUCUUCCAUAAUUUGAAGAAAGGAAAUCUUUUGAGUUGUGAUCAAAUUCUGAACGAAUCUAGCUUCCUAAUGAAUCCAUUAAGAUGCUGGACUCAUUGAAUUAAUUUUCAUUGUUUUCAGAGAACCUUGACAACUGCAUAGAUUAUUUUUAAAGACAAUAAGCAUCUUUAUUGAUGCAGAUUUAUUAUUUGUGCGAAUGCAUUAAUAACAAUUCUAUUAAGCUGAUGCUUCAAUUUAAUGAAGUUAUUGGUCAAGCUACAAAGGGCUCACGGAGG
rnacentral:misc_RNA from 1 species